UCUCUGCCGCGGCACAAAGUUGCAGCACCAUUCUUAGUGGGUAGCCUUAUUCGCAGUAGUUCCCGUUGUUGUCCGUAGCAUAAUUUUAGUUGUUUCUUUCAGUAGAUUGAACUAUAGGAACACCCCUUCACAUCCAUUUCCUAGUUGGACCAUUUCAACUCCACCUUCACUAGCAGCACGAUGGUAGAAGUUCAUAUCCUAUUA
rnacentral:lncRNA from 1 species